CACGUAGGGCGCAAGCGUUGUCCGGAAUUAUUGGGCGUAAAGAGCUCGUAGGCGGUCUGUUGCGUCUGCUGUGAAAACCCGGGGCUUAACCCCUGGCUUGCAGUGGAUACGGACAGACUAGAGGUAGGUAGGGGAGAAUGGAAUUCCCGGUGUAGCGGUGAAAUGCGUAGAUAUCGAGAGGAACACCUGCGGCGAAGGCGGGUUGCUGGGCUGACACUGACGCUGAUGCGCGAAAGCCAGGGAGCGAACGGG
rnacentral:rRNA from 1 species